rnacentral:rRNA from 1 species
AUUGAACGCUGGCGGCAGGCCUAACACAUGCAAGUCGAACGAGUGGCGGACGGGUGAGUAAUGUCUGGGAAACUGCCUGAUGGAGGGGGAUAACUACUGGAAACGGUAGCUAAUACCGCAUACCAUCGGAUGUGCCCAGAUUGCUUGUGCUAGUAUGUGGGGUAACGGCUCACCUAGGCGACGAUCCCUAGCUGGUCUGAGAGGAUGACCAGCCACACUGGAACUGAGACACGGUCCAGACUCCUACGGGAGGCAGCAGUGGGGAAUAUUGCACAAUGGGCGGAAGCCUGAUGCAGCCAUGCCGCGUGGAUGAAGAAGGCCUUCGGGUUGUAAAGUACUUUCAGCGGGGAGGCGGUAAGCGAAGAAGAAGCACCGGCUAACUCCGUGCCAGCAGCCGCGGUAAUAG